CAGUCGAGCGAGCUUGCCUAGAUGAUUUUAGUGCUUGCACUAAAUGAAACUAGAUACAAGCGAGCGGCGGACGGGUGAGUAACACGUGGGUAACCUGCCCAAGAGACUGGGAUAACACCUGGAAACAGAUGCUAAUACCGGAUAACAACACUAGACGCAUGUCUAGAGUUUGAAAGAUGGUUCUGCUAUCACUCUUGGAUGGACCUGCGGUGCAUUAGCUAGUUGGUAAGGUAACGGCUUACCAAGGCAAUGAUGCAUAGCCGAGUUGAGAGACUGAUCGGCCACAUUGGGACUGAGACACGGCCCAAACUCCUACGGGAGGCAGCAGUAGGGAAUCUUCCACAAUGGACGAAAGUCUGAUGGAGCAACGCCGCGUGAGUGAAGAAGGGUUUCGGCUCGUAAAGCUCUGUUGGUAGUGAAGAAAGAUAGAGGUAGUAACUGGCCUUUAUUUGACGGUAAUUACUUAGAAAGUCACGGCUAACUACGUGCCAGCAGCCGCGGUAAUACGUAGGUGGCAAGCGUUGUCCGGAUUUAUUGGGCGUAAAGCGAGUGCAGGCGGUUCAAUAAGUCUGAUGUGAAAGCCUUCGGCUCAACCGGAGAAUUGCAUCAGAAACUGUUGAACUUGAGUGCAGAAGAGGAGAGUGGAACUCCAUGUGUAGCGGUGGAAUGCGUAGAUAUAUGGAAGAACACCAGUGGCGAAGGCGGCUCUCUGGUCUGCAACUGACGCUGAGGCUCGAAAGCAUGGGUAGCGAACAGGAUUAGAUACCCUGGUAGUCCAUGCCGUAAACGAUGAGUGCUAAGUGUUGGGAG
rnacentral:rRNA from 1 species